GGUGAUUGCAUUGCUGUAGAACUGUGUGCUGCUGUAAAGUUCUUAAGAACUUUUGUGUUAUUGUUUUUCAGGUGAGGUCUGGGAAUUCGUUCUCGAGCACACUCCUUGUCAGUUUGUUCUAGACAUGGGUACUUUGAUGCCUGGAAUUUAAUUUGAAAAAGCAAUAAGGAGUGGACUCUCUGAAAUGGGAAAACGACAGCAUGUAAAACACAGCACAAAAACGUAUCAGUUAAGAUUUUCAAAGAAGUUGUAUUACUGUCCAAUUUAUACAGAUGUGGACAAAGAGAGAUCCAGGUAA